rnacentral:rRNA from 1 species
CACGUAGGGGGCGAGCGUUGUCCGGAUUUAUUGGGCGUAAAGAGCUCGUAGGCGGCUCGGUAAGUCAGGUGUGAAACCUCCAGGCUCAACCUGGAGACGCCACCUGAUACUGCCGUGGCUAGAGUCCGGUAGAGGAGCGUAGAAUUCCUGGUGUAGCGGUGAAAUGCGCAGAUAUCAGGAAGAACACCUAUGGCGAAGGCAGCUCUCUGGGACGGUACUGACGCUGAGACGCGAAAGCGUGGGGAGCGAACAGG